rnacentral:lncRNA from 1 species
AUGGAUGGAUGCUAGGAGCGUCCCCUUUGGAACGGGGCGGUGGGUUGCGCCACCAAACUCAUUGUGAAAUUGCCUAAUAUCCUACCUUGCUUAACCAAUGAGA